GGGGGCGAUUUUGGUUUCGACGGGGGUUGCGAAGCAGAUGCGGGCAUACCGGGAUUUCAGACUCCCGUAAAACACUGAACUUAAAUAUUCGCAAACGACGAAUCUUACGCAUUGGCCGCUUAAGGCCUGCCGUUGCAACAGUUGGCCUGUGGGCUGUGUAGGGUAAAACCUACGGCAACGUCUCUUACAUAGGCUGGUUUGCCGCCGGGUUACUUGGCGGUAAACAAGACUUAAGGUAACUGGUUUUCAGGCAGCCCGUCUGUCGGCGGCUUGGAAAUAAGAUUUAAUUGGCAAGACUAAGUAUGUAGAACGCUUUGUAGAGGACUUGCGGACGGGGGUUCGAUUCCCCCCGCCUCCACCA
rnacentral:tmRNA from 1 species